UUACCCUUUGUCUUCUGAGGUGAGCAGUGCCCUAUUUCUAAAAAUAGCUAUUCCAUCAGGACUCAUUCCAUUGGUUGGUGCACUAAUAUGAAGAAUUGCUAUGGAAUGCACUACUUUUAGUAAUUGAUGAAAUAUUUCUUUCCAAGCGGAAUAGGUUCAAUUAAUAUGGAUACAAUUGACCACCCCUGUCUUAUUCACACGAUCACAUCUCCGUUCCCAAAAUAUUCCCCUUUACCAACUUUCUGGCAUAAUCAACAAACAAUUCUCACUUUUUUUUUUUUUUGA
rnacentral:misc_RNA from 1 species